AAAUUUUAAUUGGAUUAUAUAACUCAGUCAAGUACAAUUAUAUUUAGUUUGAGUUUUCUUUUAGCCAAGCUUAGCUAGACGUCUUCUCGAAAAAAUAAUAAUAAUAAAAAAAAGCCAAACACCAUUGAUCGACUUAGACAACUUAGUGCAAUCAUAAUUUAAAUUAAAUGUUUUUUUGAAAGAUAUUUUAGUAAGUGUGAACUUAAUUUGAAGCAUGAAAUUAUUUAAAUUAGACUUGGUUGUCCUUUGAUUUUUACAUGACAUAAUGAAUUUACUUAUAUCAAUUAUUUUCAU
rnacentral:misc_RNA from 1 species